ACCAAUACAACUUUCAACAACGNAUCUCUUGGCUCUCGCAUCGAUGAAGAACGCAGCGAAAUGCGAUACGUAAUGUGAAUUGCAGAAUUCNGUGAAUCAUCGAAUCUUUGAACGCACCUUGCGCCCCUUGNCAUUCCGAGGGGCACACCCGUUUGAGUGUCGUGAAAUAUUCAAAAACCCUUUUCUUGUUAUGUAAAGGGAUUUUUAUGAACUUGGAGGUUCAAUGCUUGCUUUCACUUUUGAAAGUGAGCUCCUCUCAAAUAAAUUAGUGGGAUCUGCUUUGCUGAUCUUUAACGUGAUAAGAUGUUUCUACGUUUUGGAUUUGGCACUGUCCUUUGGAUGCCUGCUCCUAACUGUCCUAUGGACAAUGAUGGUGCUUCGGUCACUGUG
rnacentral:rRNA from 1 species